rnacentral:rRNA from 1 species
CAUGGCUCAGAUUGAACGCUGGCGGUAGGCCUAACACAUGCAAGUCGAGCGAGAACGCGCCUUCGGGUGAUUAGAGCGGCGGACGGGUGAGUAACGCGUGGGAAUCUACCCAGUAGCGGGGGAUAACUUGUGGAAACGCAAGCUAAUACCGCAUACGCCCUAAGGGGGAAAGUAGGGGAUCUUCGGACCUUACACUAUUGGAUGAGCCCGCGUCGGAUUAGCUAGUUGGUGGGGUAAAGGCCUACCAAGGCGACGAUCUCUAGCUGGUCUGAGAGGAUGAUCAGCCACACUGGGACUGAGACACGGCCCAGACUCCUACGGGAGGCAGCAGUGGGGAAUAUUGGACAAUGGCGAAAGCCUGAUCCAGCAAUACCGCGUGUGUGAAGAAGGCUCUAGGGUUGUAAAGCACUUUAAGUUGGGAGGACAGGGUGAUGGUUAAUAUCCACCAUCUGUGACGUUGCCAACAGAAUAAGCACCCCAGCAGCCGCGGUAAUAUGGAGGGUGCAAGCGUUAAUCGGAAUUACUGGGCGUAAAGCGCGCGUAGGUGGUUUGAUAAGUUGGAUGUGAAAGCCCCGGGCUCAACCUGGGAACUGCGUUCAAAACUGUCUCACUAGAGUACGAUAGAGGGGGGUAGAAUUUCAGGUGUAGCGGUUAAAUGCGUAGAGAUCUGAAGGAAUACCAGUGGCGAAGGCGGCCCCCUGGAUUGAUACUGACACUGAGGUGCGAAAGCGUGGGGGGCAAACAGGAUUAGAUACCCUGGUAGUCCACGCCGUAAACGAUGUCUACUAGCCGUUGGGGAGCUUGCCUCCUUAGUGGCGCAGCUAACGCAAUAAGUAGACCGCCUGGGGAGUACGGUCGCAAGAUUAAAACUCAAAUGAAUUGACGGGGGCCCGCACAAGCGGUGGAGCAUGUGGUUUAAUUCGAUGCAACGCGAAGAACCUUACUAGGUCUUGUCAUCCUGCGAAUUUUCUAGAGAUAGAUUAGUGCCUUCGGGAGCGUAGAGACAGGUGCUGCAUGGCUGUCGUCAGCUCGUGUUGUGAAAUGUUGGGUUAAGUCCCGUAACGAGCGCAACCCUUGUCCUUAGUUGCCAGCAUUAAGUUGGGCACUCUAAGGAGACUGCCGGUGACAAACCGGAGGAAGGUGGGGACGACGUCAAGUCAUCAUGGCCCUUACGAGUAGGGCUACACACGUGCUACAAUGGCGAGUACAGAGGGAAGCGAACCUGCGAGGGUAAGCGGCGGAUCCCUUAAAGCUCGUCGUAGUCCGGAUUGGAGUCUGCAACUCGACUCCAUGAAGUCGGAAUCGCUAGUAAUCGCAAAUCAGAAUGUUGCGGUGAAUACGUUCCCGGGCCUUGUACACACCGCCCGUCACACCAUGGGAGUCGGUUGCAAAAGAAGUAGCUAGUCUAACCUUCGGGAGGACGGUUACCACUUUGUGAUGCAUGACUGGGGUGAAGUCGUAACA